UCGAGAAUUUUUCACAAUGGGGGAAACCCUGAUGGAGCGACGCCGCGUGGGGGAUGAAUGGCUUCGGCCCGUAAACCCCUGUCAUUUGCGAACAAAUUUUUUCACCUAACACGUGAAGAAUUGAUUGUAGCGGAAGAGGAAGGGACGGCUAACUCUGUGCCAGCAGCCGCGGUAAUACAGAGGUCCCAAGCGUUGUUCGGAUUCACUGGGCGUAAAGGGUGCGUAGGUGGCCGGGUAAGUCUGAUGUGAAAUCUCGAAGCUCAACUUCGAAACUGCAUUGGAUACUAUCCGGCUGGAGGGUCGGAGGGGGGACUGGAAUUCUCGGUGUAGCAGUGAAAUGCGUAGAUAUCGAGAGGAACACCAGUGGCGAAGGCGAGUCCCUGGACGACUCCUGACACUGAGGCACGAAAGCUAGGGGAGCAAACAGGAUUAGAUACCCCCGUAGUCC
rnacentral:rRNA from 1 species